rnacentral:rRNA from 1 species
GACGAACGCUGGCGGCGUGCUUAACACAUGCAAGUCGAACGAAAAGGCCCUGAUUUUGCGCCGCGCACGAGUGCCGAACAGGUGAGAAACACGCGAGUAACCCGCCCUUGACUUAGGGAUAACUUCACGAAACUGGGGAUAAUACCCGAUAGAAUCUCCUGCUGCAUGGGGGGGGUUAGGAAAGUUACGGCGGUGGGGGAUGGACUCACGGAUUAUCACCUUGUUGGCGGGGUAGUGACUUACCAAGCGCUUUGACGGGAAGACGGCCUGACAGAGGUGACCGGCCGCAUUGGCACUGAGAUACUGACCACACUCCUACAGUACGAAGGAAUGGGGAAUAUUGCACACUGCGCGGAAGCCUGAUGCACCAACGCCGCGUGCCCGAUGACGGCCUUCAGGUUGUAAACCGCUUUCACCUGGGACUAAGCGAGAAUGACGGGAAUGGGUAAAGAAGCACCUGCUAACUACAUGCCAUCAGACGCCCUGAUACAAAUGGUGCCAGCCUUGCCCGGAUUUAUUGAGCGGACAGGGCUCAUACGUAGUUGAUCGCGUCAGAACUGUAAUCUGGGGGCUUAUCCCUGAGAGUGCUUUCCACACGGCUUGACUUGAGGAAGGCAUUGGAGAAUGGAAUUCCCCGUGGAGCGGGGGAAAGGCCAGAUAUCUAGAGGAACACACCUGGGGGAAGGGGGGUCUUUGGCUCUUUCAAGACACUGAGGAGCGAAAGCGCGGGGGGUGAACACAGGUUGAUACCCUGGGAGUCCCCGCCCUAAACGGGAGGAACUAGGAGUGGGGUCCAUUCCACGGGCUCCCAUGCCGGAGGUAACGCCUUAAAUCCCCCGCCUGGGGAGUACGGCCGCAAGGGUAGAACUCAAAGGAAUUGGCGGGGGCCCCGCCCCAGCGGCGGAGCCUGGGGAUUAAUUUGGUGCCACGCGUAGGACCUUUCCUGGGUCUGACCAGGAUCGGGCGCGUUCAGAGAUGGGUGUGCCUCUUUCGGGGUCCAUUCACACGGGGUGCAUCACCUGUCGUCAGCAUCGCGUCGUGAGAGGUUGGGUUAAUUACCCGCAACGAGCAGCAACCACCUGUUCAGCUGUUGCCACGCAUCGUUAUGGUGGGGCCUCAGAGGAGACCGCCGGGGUCCACUCGGAGGAAGGGGGGGAAGACGUCAAGUCCUCAUGCCCCUUAUGUCCAGGGCUUCCCCCAGGCUACAAUGGGUGGUACAGAGAGUGGCGAGCCUGUGAGGGUGAGCGAAUCUCGGAAAACCGGUCUCCGUUUGGGAUGGGGUUUGCAACUUGACCUCAAGAAGUCGGAGUCGCUUGUUAUUGCAGAUCCGCCACGCUGCGGUGAAUACGUUCCCGGGUC